rnacentral:lncRNA from 1 species
CCGAGUGGGAACUCACCAAAACAAAAGGGAAGUGUCCUAAGCUCAAUUCAAUUCAAUACAUUCAUCAUUUCAAAUCAAAGUCUAGAAAUGAUACUUAAAAUGUUUGAAUGGAUUGUGUGAUGUUUCUUGAUAAGUACUGAUGCACCUUUGGGAUAAUAUAUCAGGUACCAUUGCUUGAGUCUCACUAAAGAUGUUCCUGGUCAUUUCCUAGCUUCUCUAAGGUGGCUGUGAAGUCUGUUGAGAGGGGGAGAUCCAAACCAGUUCUAUGAAGAGGGCAAGCAUAGUUGGAAGUCUUGCUCAGCCUCACUGAUGCCUAAAGAUGAUCCGGUCGCAUCCUUGCCUUUCUAAGAAGGCUAUGAAGCUUGUUGAGAGGGGGAGUCCCAAACCGGUUCCAUGAAGAGAUGAAGCUGAGGUGUGAAGUGUUCG